UGUGUGUCAGUCAGGUCGCGGGGUGUGCAGCGUCGACACGUACGCUCCAGAUCCUCCUCCACGCUCCUCCACCUCCUCCUCCACCUCCUCCUCCAUCUUAGUGUAGCCCAGUGACCUCCUCCUCCUCCUCCUCCUCCUCCUCGUCUUCCUCGUCUUCUUCAUAUUUUAUUUUGGUCUCAAUUUUCGUCUUCUUGAAAUAAUAUCUUUUCCUCCUCCUCCUCCUCCUCCUCCUCCUCCUCGUCUUCCUCUUUUGCGUUUUGAUUUUGAUUUUCGUCUUCUUGAAAUUAUAUCUUCUCUUCUUCCUCCUCCUCCUCCUCCUCCUCCUCCUCUUCUCUUCCUUCACUGUAAUCUUAAGUAAAUUUUCUCCUCCUCCUCCUCUUCCUCCUCCUCUCCUUGAUUCUUCUCUUCUUCGUGUUUGUCUUCCUCAGUAGUACUUCCUCCUCCUCCUCCUCCUCCUCCUCCUCUUUUUUUUUUUGAAGGAGGUUGUUUUUGCCUCCUUCAAGUCCUCUCGUUUUUUUUUUUUUUAAUUCAAGAAAAGAAAAAAAACACCAACAUCAAAAUGACCAUCAGUGGGCGAGAAUGUAUCAGCAUCCACGUGGGUCAGGCGGGGGUGCAGAUGGGCAACGCGUGCUGGGAGCUGUAUUGCCUGGAGCACGGGAUACAGCCGGACGGGAUGAUGCCCUCAGACGAAACCAUUGGCUACGGAGACGACUCCUUCAACACCUUCUUCAGCGAGACUCGAACUGGAAAACACGUGCCCAGGGCUGUCUUCGUGGACCUGGAGCCGACCGUCGUGGAUGAGAUUCGGACAGGCACUUACCGCAACCUGUUCGCGCCCAACUCCCUCCACACUGGCAAGGAGGACGCCGCUAACAACUACGCUCGUGGGCACUACACCGUUGGCAAGGAGCAGCUGGAGGUCGUUCUGGACACCAUCAGGAAGCAGCAGGAGGCGUGUUCGGGGCUUCAAGGGUUCCUGGUGUUCCACUCGUUCGGCGGGGGCACGGGGUCAGGCUUCGGGUCCCUCCUCAUGGAACACCUCUCGCUCGACUACGGGAAGAAGUCCAAGUUGUGUUUCUCCAUCUACCCCGCGCCACAGGUGUCAACAGCCGUGGUGGAGCCGUACAACUCCAUCCUCUUCACACACACCACGCUGGAGCACUGUGAUGUGGAGUUCAUGGUGGACAAUGAAGCCAUCUACGAUCUUUGCCAGAGGGGCCUUGGGAUCAUGAGGCCAACCUACACCAACCUCAACAGAAUGAUCGGACAGGUGGUUUCAAGCAUCACGGCGUCCCUUCGGUUCGACGGCGCCCUCAACGUAGACCUGACGGAGUUCCAGACCAACCUCGUGCCCUACCCGCGCAUCCAUUUCCCACUGGCCACCUACGCCCCCGUGGUCUCGGCGGACAAGGCGCAGCAUGAUAACUUUGACGUUCGAACCAUCACCGCCAAGUGCUUCGAACCAAACCAGCAGAUGGUGAAGUGUAACCCGCAGGAGGGGAAGUACAUGGCCUGCUGCCUUCUCUUCCGCGGUGACGUUGUGCCCAAGGACGUCAACGGAGCCAUCGCUGAGCUCAGGACCAAGAGAACCAUUUCCUUCGUCGACUGGUGCCCCACGGGAUUCAAGGUGGGCAUCAACUACCAGCCGCCCACAGUGGUGCCCGGCGGAGACCUGGCCAAGGUGGAGCGUGCCGUGUGUGUGCUGUCCAACACCACUGCCGUCAAGGAUGCGUGGAAGAGACUGGACAAGAAGUUUGACCUCAUGUACUCCAAGCGAGCCUUCGUCCACUGGUAUGUGGGCGAGGGCAUGGAGGAAGGCGAGUUUUAUGAGGCCCGAGAGGACACGGGAGCGCUGGAAAUGGAUUAUGAGGAAGUGGAGGACUCAGCCGACCUCACCGACUCAGAGAACGAGGAAUUCUAGGCGACCCUCUCCUCCUUCCACUCCUCCUCCUCCUCCUCCUCCUCCUCCUCCUCUCUCUCUUAUCCCUUUCAUCCCAUUUCCAGGCGAGUUUGCCGAGGCGCGGGACGACCUUGCGGCUCUUGAACUUGAUUACGAUGAGGUGGAGGAGAACCCAGGAACGGACGGGGAGGAAGAGGAAGGUUACGACUACUGAGGAGGCGAAGGUAUGAGAGGAGACUUGAUACAUAGCUACUAACACGGCCUCCACUACUACUACUACUACUACUACUACUACUACUACUACUGCUACUACUAACCACGUCACUUACAAUACUAACUUAUUAGGAAGGUUUCGACUACUGAGAAGGUGGAGUUUACGAGUGGAGAGUUGAAAGGUAGCUACUAACAACUUCGACUACUACUACUACUACUACUACUACUACUACUACUACUGCUGCUGCUACUGCUACUACUAACCAUGUCACUUACAAUACUAACUUACGAGGAAGGUUUCAACUACUGAGAAGGUGGAGUUUACGAGUGGAGAGUUGACCUGUAGCUUCUAACUGCAAAGAGUGGAUAAUCAUCUACUUACAGUCCAUCUACUUACACUACUACUACUACUACUACUACUGCUGCUGCUACUACUAACCUCAUCCUGUGUUGUGUUAAUAAGUGUUGCUGAAGGGACUAGGAGAAGGAAGGGAAGGGAAGAGAAGGGAUGCUGUGUUGGUUUUGUGUUGCUGAAGGGACAAGGAGAAGGAGAGGGAAGGGAAAUGAAGGGAUACAGUGUUAGUUUUGUGUUGCUGAAGGGACUAAGGAAGGGAAGGGAAGAGAAGGGAUGCUGUGUUAAUUUUGUGCUGCUGAAGGUACUAAGGAAAGGGAAGAGAAGGGAUGCUGUGUUAGUAGUCAAAUUGAAGGGAUUAGGGAAGGGAAGAGAAGGGAUACAGUGUUAGUUUUGUGUUGCUGAAGGGAAAGGACAAGGAGGUGGAAGGGAAGAAGGGAUACAGUGUUAGUAAUGUGUUGUCCGUCGUGGCGUUGUGUUACGUGACGAUCAUUACAUAUAAGUUUGUGUUGCUGUCGUCCGUUCCAGUGAGUUACAAAAAUAUCCCCACCAAACGACAGCAGUGACAUUGAUGUAGCCCCUCGCUGGAACGGGCCCCGGCAACACAGCCCUUUCUAAAACCACACUCACAGAUCAUAUAAUUUUCCAUGUUGCAAAAACAAAACUAAAAACAAACAAAAAAUGAAGGGGAAGGAGAACUGUAUAUUUAGUGACUCAUCACUAGUUUGUAAGCGUUGAAGCAAAUACUAAUGCAUAGGUAUAGGUAAUGUAAGCUCCGCCUUACUGUAGUUGUCUGUAAAGUGCGCCAGGCCAACACUGAGAAGCCAGGCUUUAGACUAAGUUAUGUUACGUAUCUGUUCCUCACCUUUUGCAACACUAGCUCACGACACACACACACAACCUGAUAGUUUUUGGUCAUGUUCUCAAACGUUUCGAGGCUCACACACCAGACCUCGCAAGGCUUUGGUGCAGGUUGUGUUAGUACCAAGUAUCAAACUAUACAAAUUAGUUCAGGGAGGCAGUGGCUGAGUGGUCAGCGUGCCGACGCCGUGUCCAGGAGGACGCUGGUUCAAGUUGUGGCUGCCACCACAGCUGGGACUUUUAAGUUCCUGCCAAGUGGUCCAUGACUACCUGUCCUGAGGACUUCCUGUCAACCCAGACUCUUGAUUCUCUCUCUCUAAAAAGAGGCUCAAAGAUGAGCUCCGAGGGGCAGCAUGAGUCAAGCAAGAUGGCACCACUUGCCUGUGCCACAACGGGCUGGGCCAACCAUCAGGCCCCGCCAAGAAAGACCACCCCAGCUAUUGGCUGAAAUGUAAAGAAAAAAACCUUCCAUGGGUAGUUUUAUGAGCCUAGUGAGAGUUGAACAAGGCUUUUCCACCAUCAAUGUGAAGCACACCCCGAGAGCCUGACCAGCCUCCUCUGCGGCCUUGGGAGAGUGUUGUCGUGUGAGCCAGAAGCGUCUGAGAACAUGAGGUUUAGUCUUAAGGCUUUGUAGGUCUUGUAGUGCUUAAGGUUUUGUCGUCCUUCACUCAGUGCUAGAACCAUCCCCGCUGCUGCUGCUGCCGUCCUCUGACCUCUGCCCAAGCUUGCAAAGGCACUAAACAUCUGUGAUAACACAAUCCGUCCAUCCCAGCUCAGCGCAGGUUUGAUGAGGAACCAGUCAGCCGUCCGUCCACCACCAGAGCUUUACACACACAAUGAGAUGAAUAAAGAUGAAUAAAAUAAAUGACUAUGAGGAAGAAUAGUUUUGGUUCAGUGUGCUGCUUCAUAUCAUUACACACACACUCUUCUUCUCUCUCUUUCCUUCACUCAUUCCUCCUCUUAUUUCUCUGUUACUCUUUCCUCUCUUCCUCCUCUUGUUAGCUUCCUUCUCUUCUCUUUUCCUUUUCUCUCCAUCUCUUUCCUCCACUCAUUUCUUCUCUUACUUUCAUCUCCCUCAUCUCUUCAUCAAUCUUUCCUCUCCCUCUCCUCCUCCUCCUCCUCCUCCUCCUCCUUUUUACUUUCCUUUCCUCUCAUGUCUUUACCACACUUCCUUCUCUUCCUCUCUUUCCUCCUCUCAUUUCUUCCUGUCUUCUCCCUCCUCUCUAUCAGUCUUUUUCUUCUUCCUCCUUCAGUUCACACACUCGCCCCGCUAGCAAUGCCUGUUCCUUAUAGAUUAACAGUACGUAUAUAUUUGCUAACAUUAAGGACAAAUAAAUAAGACCUUUC